AUUUAUGAUGGAAGUAAGUACAUUAAAAAAAAAAUUAGAAUCUGAAAGGCAAGCAUGUAAUAAAUAGCAGAAAAUUUCACGUAAAAACAACUAAAAUAAAAAAUUAAAUUUGUAUGCACAUAACAUACACACACACACGCACACCGUUUUGAGCGAACGAAGCUAGCAAGCAAUUAACUGAAAAAAAUACGGCAUGUAAAAAAUCCAAAUAACGAAACCUUUGCCUUUAGAGAUAGAUAAAUUGUAAACAAACAGCAGAAAUGGAGAAGCCAACCAAAACAAAUCUGACAGCUAAAGGUCUCCAUAUGUAUGUCUGUGCACUUACACGCGCACACUUGACGCACAUAGCUACACACAUACAAACUCGUACAUAUAAGGAAAGGUACACAGAGUUGCACCCUGCAGGGAAAUUGAGCGUUGCAGAACUUUCUUCGCGGUGAGGCAGCAAAUGAUGAUCGCGAAGUUGUGAAAAAUAGCGCAAGCGAACUAAAUUCAUAGCAGUUUAAUGUACGCGGCUGGCUCGCCUACGCAGCUGGCAAACGACAUGCGAAAAAAAUCGCAGAAACAAGACUUGAUGGCAGCAAAAUCACGCAGUUAACGAAAUAUUGCUUCUUAAAGUUCUCUUGAAGCGCUAGUCAUAGUAACUACAUUUAUGGAGGCAUGAACCUACUCGAACAGGUUUACAAGAGCAAAACCACAGACGUGCUGGUAUAAGAAAGUUAACAUAACCUACAAUAUAAUUCCAUGCUCAAUAAAUCAUUGAAAUUUCGUUGGCUUGAAACAGUUGCAAAUAUGUAUAUAAGACUUAAAGAAACUUUACAUUAUUUCUAUCGAGAUAGUCAAGAAAAUAAUUUCAGCGCUCAUUUGAAGAGCCCAAAACCUGUGCACACAAGUUCAAGCAAGCUAAACUGCAAACGGUUGGAAGCUGGCACGUUUUCACUGCAGGGUUUCUAUUAUUGUGAUUUGUAUGCUGAAACCUCUUACCGUAAUGCGGGCAUCAUGAAGAAACCACAACCUAAAAUGACAACAAAAUGCACAAGCACACAAACACCGAACAGCGGUGUACAAAAAAAAAAAACAAAAAAACCAAGAAAGCAGUGGGAAAAGCAAGCAAAAACAACCGAUAUUGUGUCACAACUGACAUACAUACAUACUACGUGCUUACAUACAUACAUAUGUAUGUAUAUGGAUAAGCGUGCCCAUGAGGCAAAGCCAAAGGCAAAGCCAAAAAGCGCACCAACCAAACACCACAACUCAACGAUCCACAGCGAUCGUCGUGCCUCCGCUUCAGAGGCCCCUCACCCAAAGCGCGCCACAAAGAACGACAACAAGCAAGAAAGAAACCAAAAAAACACACUCAAGACACGCAGAAAGCGCAGCAAACGGAUGGCAGUAGAUCGUCACAGCUUUGGGGAUCGCACGGGUAAUCAACACACACACACACACACAUGCAGCAUGAAGUCAUACAAAAGUAGUUUUGCUGCUGUUGUUGCGGCAGACGAAGGGCUCGAGGGUAUAGCCGUGGCAGGGCCAAGCAAUUUUGUACGAAAAAUCAAAACAAAUAGCCAGAAAAUGAGAGAAACGACGAUUAAUAAAAGCAAAUAAAAAAGGUAAAGUGGCACAAAUCAACCAAAAAACUACAGCAAAAACAACAAGAACACAAACAAAAAAAAGAAUAGAGAAAAACACACGCACUAACAACACAAGUAGCAAUCAAAGAACCACAGCAGGGCUGAGGCAAAGAAUUAAAAUGUACAUAGUAUGUAUAAUAACAACAAUAAAAACAACUAUAAUGUAUAGUAGAAGAACGUGAGGAAAAAAUUUUAAGAGCUGCACAAAAAUAAAAAUGGAAAAAAUAAAUAAAUCAAAAGAUCAAGUAAGCAAAAAACACAAAAAAAAACAAAAAACAAAUAGGUUGAUUUGAUGUGUUUGCUUGUACAACGGCUACUUGCAUGUAUGUUUGCAUGUGUGUGUGUGUGUGCGUGUGUUUGUUUCAGUUGGAGUACAAAGAAAGCGGGUUUUGUGUGUCCGCCGCGGCGCAAGUGACUUCGUAUCGCGGCAAGUAGGCGGGUAACACCGGUAGCUGGAGCACAAUACGACAUUAAAAACAACAACAACAACACCAACAACAGCACUUCGAAUGCGGUACACAGAAAUCAACCUUGAACUAUUGUACAACAUGAAAAACCGCACAACAACUUCAUAGUAAUGCCAAUAAUAUAACAAAAACCAACCGCAAUGAACGCAGAAACAGUAGCAGCAACAACAAUUAGCACAUAGUGCCUAGCUGCAAAAAUAAAAACAGUCAAAGCUAACAACAACAACAACAAUAACAAUGAGAAGCCACUGGCAAAGCCAACAUGUCUAGAAUAUUACAACAUGUAAUGCAUUAUUUAUAACAUAAAAUUAAACGCUAAUUAAAGAAGAACAUGAAACACCAAGCCAAGCAAGAGCCUGAAUGCAGGCGCACACGUACACCGUUGAACCAACACACACACAUAACUAUGUUAGUGUGCAUAUGUGCAUAUGUGCAUGUGAAUGCAUGCAUAUUCAAUGUGCGAUUAUAGGAUAUGCGCUCACCUGAAAACCCGCAUGUCUAAAUGACCGACAGACGCAAUCUCGACACACACACACACACAUGCAUAUGCAUGUAUAGUGAAUUGCAUGCACUUGUCUGUUUAUUGGUGAAAACAAACAGUACCUCUAUGCUUGGCACUUAAUAAUAUGCAUUUAUACUCGCAGUCACACACACACACAACACGCUAGCUUGCUUACCCAUUCGCCUGCUUUGGCAACGUUGGCAAAAUAAAAACAUUGAGAAGAAAAAGAAAUAAAAUCACACACAUCAGAAUUGGCAAGUCAGAACGAUUAAUGUUAUGUUAUGCAGCACAAAUUCGCUUAAACCAACUACAAGAUGUUAGUAGAGAAGUUAAACUGACUCUUAGAUACUUAUAUAAAGAAGUAAACGCGGCAGCGACACUUAAGAUACUUGAAAGAAGUCAACCGGUGGCUUCGAGCUCUUAGAAAACAGAGUCAACAUACAUACAUGUGCCUUGAAAUACGCUGAGUUGUAUAUUUGCACCAGAAGAAAGUAGUCAAAGCUGACUAAAUAAAUUGUUACUAUCUAAAA